UCUGACGGAGCAACGCCGCGUGAGUGAUGAAGGUUUUCGGAUCGUAAAGCUCUGUUGUUAGGGAAGAACAAGUACCGUUCGAAUAGGGCGGUACCUUGACGGUACCUAACCAGAAAGCCACGGCUAACUACGUGCCAGCAGCCGCGGUAAUACGUAGGUGGCAAGCGUUGUCCGGAAUUAUUGGGCGUAAAGGGCUCGCAGGCGGUUCCUUAAGUCUGAUGUGAAAGCCCCCGGCUCAACCGGGGAGGGUCAUUGGAAACUGGGGAACUUGAGUGCAGAAGAGGAGAGUGGAAUUCCACGUGUAGCGGUGAAAUGCGUAGAGAUGUGGAGGAACACCAGUGGCGAAGGCGACUCUCUGGUCUGUAACUGACGCUGAGGAGCGAAAGCGUGGGGAGCGAACAGGAUUAGAUACCCUGGUAGUCCACGCCGUAAACGAUGAGUGCUAAGUGUUAGGGGGUUUCCGCCCCUUAGUGCUGCAGCUAACGCAUUAAGCACUCCGCCUGGGGAGUACGGUCGCAAGACUGAAACUCAAAGGAAUUGACGGGGGCCCGCACAAGCGGUGGAGCAUGUGGUUUAAUUCGAAGCAACGCGAAGAACCUUACCAGGUCUUGACAU
rnacentral:rRNA from 2 species